AACGAACGCUGGCGGCAGGCCUAACACAUGCAAGUCGAACGCCGUAGCAAUACGGAGUGGCAGACGGGUGAGUAACGCGUGGGAAUAUCCCCCUCAGUACGGAAUAGCUCAGGGAAACUUGGGGUAAUACCGUAUACGUCCGUGAGGAGAAAGAUUUAUCGCUGAGGGAUUAGCCCGCGUAGGAUUAGCUAGUUGGUGAGGUAAUGGCUCACCAAGGCGACGAUCCUUAGCUGGUCUGAGAGGACGACCAGCCACACUGGGACUGAGACACGGCCCAGACUCCUACGGGAGGCAGCCUGAGACCCAAGGCACACAGGGGAUAGG
rnacentral:rRNA from 1 species